UACGUAGGGUGCGAGCGUUUAAUCGGAAUUACUGGGGCGUAAAGCGUGCGUAGGCGGUUCGUUGUGUCGGCGGUGAAAUCCCCGGGCUCAACCUGGGAAUGGCCGUUGAAACUGGCGAACUGGAGUGUGGCAGAGGCGAGUGGAAUUCCUGGUGUAGCGGUGGAAUGCGUAGAUAUCUGGAGGAACACCGGUGGCGAAGGCGGCAUCCUGGACCGAGAUUGACGCUGAGGCGCGAAAGCCAGGGGGAGCAAACGGG
rnacentral:rRNA from 1 species